rnacentral:lncRNA from 1 species
AUGAGUUGGUACUUGUUUCUAAAAAAUUUCUGACAAGCCUCACAUGCAUAUGGCUUUUCUCCAUUGUGAAUUCUCUGGUGUACAAGGAGGUGAGACUUCUUCUUAAAUAAUUUUCCACAUUCCCUACAUACAUAAGGUCUUUCUCCAGUAUGGCCAUGCUGGUGUAGAAUGAGGUUACCCUUGUGACUAAAACAUUUCCCACAUUCCCCACACUUAAAAGGUCUUUCUGUAGUGUGAACUCGCUGAUGAUUCCUAAGGUGUCCUUUUUCAUUAAAAGAUUUCCCACAGUCUCCACACUUGUAAGGUCUUUCUCCAGUGUGCAUGCGCUGAUGGUGAACAAGGCUGCGCUUAUGACUAAAAGAUUUCCCACAUUCCCCACAGUGAUAAGCUCUCUCUCCAGUGUGACCUCGCUGAUGUUGAAUGAGGUUACCCUUUUGACCAAAAGAUUUCCCAUAUUCUCUACACUCAUAAGGCCCUUCUCCAGUGUGAACACGCUGAUGGCUAAUAAGGCUGCCCUUCUGACUAAAAGAUUUCCCACACUCCCCACAGGGAUAAGCUGUCUUUCCAGUGUGGACUCGCUGAUGUUGAAUAAGGCUGCUCUUUCGACUAUAAGAUUUCCCACACUCUCCACAAUCAUAAGGUCCUUUUCCAGUGUGAUCUCGCUGAUGAUUACUGAAGCUGACAUAUCUGCUAAAGGAUUUUCCACAAUCACUGCACACAUAACAUCCAU